rnacentral:rRNA from 1 species
CCUACGGGUGGCAGCAGUGGGGAAUAUUGGACAAUGGGCGAAAGCCUGAUCCAGCCAUGCCGCGUGUGUGAAGAAGGCCUUCGGGUUGUAAAGCACUUUCAGUGGGGAAGAAAGCCUUGGGGCUAAUACCCUCGAGGAAGGACAUCACCCACAGAAGAAGCACCGGCUAACUCAGUGCCAGCAGCCGCGGUAAUACGGAGGGUGCGAGCGUUAAUCGGAAUUACUGGGCGUAAAGCGCGCGUAGGCGGUCUGAUAAGCCGGUUGUGAAAGCCCCGGGCUCAACCUGGGAACGGCAUCCGGAACUGUCAGGCUAGAGUGCAGGAGAGGAAGGUAGAAUUCCCGGUGUAGCGGUGAAAUGCGUAGAGAUCGGGAGGAAUACCAGUGGCGAAGGCGGCCUUCUGGACUGACACUGACGCUGAGGUGCGAAAGCGUGGGUAGCAAACAGGAUUAGAUACCCCAGUAGUC